rnacentral:lncRNA from 1 species
AGACAUAACGGCGCCGUAACGCAUUCCAUUGUGUUUACACCGUGCUGUGGUGCUACACCGUGCCAUCGCUUUAAAAGUGGCUGUCUAAUAGAUCUGUAUCACAUUCACUCUCACUUGGAAAUUAUACAUGCAACCUCGGAAAUACCUACCUUAGUGAAGCAAAGUGAAGAAUAUGAAGUGAAUUAUAAGUUGGCUGAAACAUAUUCCCUGAACGAUAUUCGGUAUCUUACACCCCAGCAAAGAAAAUGUCGAUUUGAAGAUGAACCUCUAACAAAUAACGUCCCUGUUUAUAGCAACAGUAUUUGUACAAUGGAAUGUCGAUACAGAUUGGCCAUGGAAAAGUGUGGAUGUAGACCAUUUUUCUAUCCCUUUUUAUACGGCAAAAUAUGUAAUUUGGAUGGACUAUUAUGCCUGGCUAAAAUAUCAUAUUUAUUUAACAACUCAACUGAAACGUUUGGAUGCAGUUGUCCCCAACCUUGCAAUUUAAUGGUUUAUCUUAAACAGGUUCCUAAAAUAACGCAAUGGGAGCAAGAGUUCUUUGAUCAAAGAAUUACGUUUAGAUGGGGAUUAUUAUCACCUACCACCAAAUAUCAUAGGAAAAUUAUUUUCGGAUUUCAAGAGCUGAUAGUAUCUUUUGGAGGAGCAUUGUCAUUAUUCUUGGGACUGAGCGUGAUAAGCUGUUUUGAGACUGUUUAUUUGGUAAGUGAAUCAUUUUACCACAGUUUGCAACGACGCAUUGCUAGGAAAACUAAUGACGUUGCAGCAUAAUAAGACAAAUAUGGCAUUCAAUAGUCGUAUAAAAUGUUUAAAUAGCUGAAUUUUAAACACGUUAGAUCACUUUAUGUUUUUGGGAAAAUAAUGUAAUUUUAGAUAUGCGUUAUAAUUAGAUUUUUGGAUGCCACUUUAGCAAUGUGUUAUUUAUUGAUGUAUUGUACCAGUAAAUAUAAAAGAAUUAUUUAAAUAAAAAAGUACAGAUAAUUUAAGUAAGAAAUAAGUAAUCGUAUGGCCGCUUUUGGUAACAAUUUUAAGAUAUGAAAGUUUUAUUCUGUAUGUGAUUAGCAAACUCACUUAUUUCUUAUAAAUUAAGGCCCUCACAUGUUACCGUCGUAUUAAAAAUUGUCUCAUCUUGUUAAUAAAAUUGCAUAUUACAGA